GCUGUUCCACGUAUUCUCUUCGUUUGCAAAAUAGCGACGAUGCGUAAACAUUCCCGGAGUAUCUUAUUGAACUAACACCCUUCUUGCGCCGACGUGAGAUGAUAAAACGCCUAGGUGGUGACAUGAAGCCCCGGAACAACCGCUGCCCAACCUAACGUCAGGUACUGCUGACCGCGCACCGGGCCGCUCUGCUUCAGGACCGGGGCUGACCCUGUGAAACUGAAGCCACGGGAAACUGUGGAUGAGGAGACACCGCCAUACUCAGAAAUGACAACUCUUAUUAUUUGCUGAUAAUAAGAAUGAUAGUGCUUGCGUCCAUGGGGAAUUUUCUCAAAAUUUACAUGAGUGAUUCUCAGGGAGGAAGAAAGUCCAUCUGAAAGAGGGGUGUCUUUGCAGGUAUCAUUAAGUUAAAGAUUUAAUGAAAUUAUCCUGAAUUACUUGGACCCUAAAUCCAAUGAUAAGUGUCCUUAUAAGAAACAGAAGAGGAGAAGGCAACAGAGAAGGAGAAGACGGCCACAUAAAGACAGAAGCCAAGAAGAUACGAGAAAUGCCAACAGCUACCAGAAGCCAGAAGAUGCAAGGAAAGCUUGUACUCCAGUCUUCCCAGAGGGAGUACAGCCCUGACAACAUCUUGGUUUUGGACUCUGGCCUCCACACUAUGAGGGAAAACUUUUCUGUUGUUUUAAACCACACGAUUUGUGGUAAUUUGUUAUGGUAACCCUAGGAAAUGAAUACACCACCUUAACCAAAUGAUCAGUGUUAAUAU